ACGCUCGCACCAUAUGCACCGUGCGCACCGUGCACCGGACGCACUGUGCACCGUGCGCACCACGCUCACGCCUUGCACGCUCGUGCAUGCACCGUGCACGCUCACAACACACGCACCGUGCACACUCGCACCAUUCGCACCACGCCUGUGCACAACGCUCACACCGUGCACGCUCACCCCAAACACACCAUGCACCGUGCGCACGGUGCACUAUAUGCACUGUGCACCACGCUCACACCGUGCACGCUCGUGCAUGCACCAUGCACGCUCACAACACACGCAUUGUGCACACUCGCACCAUUCGCACCUCGCCUGUGCAUGAUGCUCACACUGUGCACGCUUGCCCCAAACACACCAUGCACCAUAUGCACCAUGCGCACACAGUGCUCACGCUCACAACACAAAUGCUGCACACACACACACACACACACAAUGCAUGCACAAUCGAAAUGCACGUACUGUGCACACUCAACAGAGCUCGUGCUGUGCACGAUGCAUGCACCGUGCACGCUUGGAAUGCACGUGCACAGCCCCCCCAUGCAUGGCCUCGAUGUGCGCACUGUGCACACUCACAACACGCAGCGUGCAUGUGCACAGUGCUCCCAAUGCCUGCGCUCCCCCAAGGCACGCACCAUGCACACGCGCAGCGCUCACACUCGAAAUGCACAUGCAUGCUUGGCCAUGCAUGUGCAAAAUGCACCCGCCGUGCAUGCCCACACUCACCUGUGCGCACUCACAACACACACACAGCCUGCACACUUGCACUGUGCACACUCAAAAAUGCACCCACCGUGCAUGCCCACUCACCUGUGCACGCGCACGUUGCACCAGCUGUGCAGGUACACACUCACCAGUGCACGUGGGCGAUGCACGAGCACCCUCGCACGCUCACCCUGCCCCUCGCACGCCUGCGCCCCCCCUCCCUGGCCAGCACUGACCCGGCGCCUGGCGCCCCCCAACAACUGUGAAAGCAAAGCUGUGAUGAGCCCCGUCUGUCUGUGUGUCCAUCCACCGUGCCGGGAGCCGGGACUGCCGUGGCGGCUCCAUCCAUCCAUCCGUGUGUCUGUCCGCCCGCGGCGCCGGCCACCAGGAGGCGGCGGGACCCCCCCCCCCCCCCCGGCCCCCCUCUGUGCAAUAAAGGUGUCGGUGACAACCUGAGUCCUGCCUUCUCCUUCCCCCAGCCCCUACAGCCCC
rnacentral:lncRNA from 1 species